GACGAACGCUGGCGGCGUGCCUAAUACAUGCAAGUUGAGCGCUGAAGGUUGGUACUUGUACCGACUGGAUGAGCAGCGAACGGGUGAGUAACGCGUGGGGAAUCUGCCUUUGAGCGGGGGACAACAUUUGGAAACGAAUGCUAAUACCGCAUAAAAACUUUAAACACAAGUUUUAAGUUUGAAAGAUGCAAUUGCAUCACUCAAAGAUGAUCCCGCGUUGUAUUAGCUAGUUGGUGAGGUAAAGGCUCACCAAGGCAAUGAUACAUAGCCGACCUGAGAGGGUGAUCGGCCACAUUGGGACUGAGACACGGCCCAAACUCCUACGGGAGGCAGCAGUAGGGAAGCUUCGGCAAUGGACGAAAGUCUGACCGAGCAACGCCGCGGGAGUGAAGAAGGUUUUCGGAUCGUAAAACUCUGUUGGUAGAGAAGAACGUCGGUGAGAGUGGAAAGCUCAUCAAGUGACGGUAACUACCCAGAAAGGGACGGCUAACUACGUG
rnacentral:rRNA from 1 species